rnacentral:rRNA from 1 species
GGGAACUACGAGCAUAAGCUUAAAACCCAAAGGACUUGGCGGUGCUUUAGACCCCCCUAGAGGAGCCUGUUCUAGAACCGAUAACCCCCGUUCGACCUCACCUUUUCUUGUUCUUCCCGUCUAUAUACCGCCGUCGUCAGCAUACCCUGUGAAGGAAACAUAGUAGGCAAAACUGGUAAAACCCAAAACGCCAGGUCGAGGUGUAGCAUACGAAAAGGAAAGAAAUGGGCUACAUUUCCUCUUACAGGAAAUACGAAUUGUGUCAUGAAACAACACAUGAAGGAGGAUUUAGCAGUAAGCAGAAAA